GGAGAAUUAAUCCUGUCUUCACAAUCUAGUGAGGUAGUUAAGUUAGUAUUCACUCAGGAUAGACAAUAGAGUAAACAAUUGUCUUUCACAGUGUAAAAAUGGAGAUUUGAACCCCAGACUUCAAUCCCCAGAAGUCCUUGCUAGCUCCCAGAAUUCUCUCUAAUCUCCCUGAUUGCGAGAUCACAAAUUAUUAUUUAAAGGAGCUCUCUGCCUACUGGGUUCUCUUCCUUCUUCUGCUUCUGGGAAUACACGGCUCUCUACCUAGCAGGCAAGAUAUUGGGAAUAAGGGAAGAUGAAGGGAAUAGCAUUUACUAAAUGCCUGCAAUAUAGGAUGUACCAAACUAAAUGUUUUACAAAUAUUAUCUCAUUGGAUAUUCACAACAACCCUAUGAGGUUAAUUUUGGGAAUACAUGAAAAGACCUAGAAGAAAUUAUGAAGAGUGAAAUAAGCAGAACCAAGAGAGCAUUAUAUAUGUAGCAACAGAAAUUGUUUAAAAAAAUUACUUGUGUAUGACCACCUCCACAGAAAGAACUGAUACAUAUAAAUAAAACACAGUAUGUGUAUCA
rnacentral:lncRNA from 1 species